UGUCAUAGCCAUACCACCACGCAGGUCAAAACAUGUAAUUUAUCUGAAGCUAAGCAUGUUUGGGCCUGGCCAGUAAAUGGAUAGGAGACCAACUAGGAAAAUAAGCUGCUGCAGGAA
rnacentral:rRNA from 1 species